GAUGAACGCUGGCGGCGUGCCUAAUACAUGCCAGUCGAGCGAACAGACGAGGAGCUUGCUCCUCUGACGUUAGCGGCGGACGGGUUAGUAACACGUGGAUAACCUACCUAUAAGACUGGGAUAACUUCGGGAAACCGGAGCUAAUACCGGAUAAUAUAUUGAACCGCAUGGUUCAAUAGUGAAAGACGGUUUUGCUGUCACUUAUAGAUGGAUCCGCGCCGCAUUAGCUAGUUGGUAAGGUAACGGCUUACCAAGGCGACGAUGCGUAGCCGACCUGAGAGGGUGAUCGGCCACACUGGAACUGAGACACGGUCCAGACUCCUACGGGAGGCAGCAGUAGGGAAUCUUCCGCAAUGGGCGAAAGCCUGACGGAGCAACGCCGCGUGAGUGAUGAAGGUCUUCGGAUCGUAAAACUCUGUUAUUAGGGAAGAACAAAUGUGUAAGUAACUAUGCACGUCUUGACGGUACCUAAUCAGAAAGCCACGGCUAACUACGUG
rnacentral:rRNA from 1 species